CUUCAACGAGCCGAGCCACAGCGGCUGUUCGGCGGGGCGGUCCUGGCCGUAGACGGCGAUCAGGGCCUGCGCCUC
rnacentral:antisense_RNA from 1 species